CCGGCGCACGGUGAGUAACGCGUAUGCAACUUACCUAUCAGGAGGGGAUAACCCGGCGAAAGUCGGACUAAUACCGCAUGAAGCAGGGGCCCCGCAUGGGGAUAUUUGCUAAAGAUUCAUCGCUGAUAGAUAGGCAUGCGUUCCAUUAGGCAGUUGGCGGGGUAACGGCCCACCAAACCGACGAUGGAUAGGGGUUCUGAGAGGAAGGUCCCCCACAUUGGAACUGAGACACGGUCCAA
rnacentral:rRNA from 1 species